AUAAGCUCCCGGACAGCGCCUGGUAAGCUUGCUUGGCGAGACGAACAGACAUUGGACGGGGCAACAGGUAUGAGCACGCAGGCGUAUGCGCCGGAGUGCGAACCUGUCAGAAUUGCCGGAGUGCGAUGCACGGAGCAAUUCGCAGCUUAU
rnacentral:sRNA from 1 species